GUGAAUCAUCGAAUCUUUGAACGCAAAUUGCACUUUCUGGUAUUCCGGAAAGUAUGCUUGUUUGAGGGUCAGUUAAAUAAAAAUCGGUGUUGUUGAUGCCUUUAGUGGUGAUGUGUCGGAAAUGGGUCGUAUUACCUUUGGUUAAGAGACUUAAAAUUUUUGCAUGAUUUUCGAACGUCUUUAAAUCGCUCACGUAAGUUUGAGAUAUCGAAUGUUUGUUAGGUUCGGCGAUUUCU
rnacentral:misc_RNA from 1 species